UCAUCCUUCCAACUUCCUUGCUCAGCGACCUUCUCGGGACGGUGGGAUUUUAACGUUUAUUAUUCUGUAUCUUUAUUAUUAAACGCCUUAUCAAUAUUAAUAGGGCAACAGGAGGCACAUGUAGUGGAACACAGGCGCAGAAGAAAGAAUCCCGCUUCAAAAAACCUAAACCGAGUUAAAAAGGCGUACGGUACCUCUAUUGCUAUUGCUAAGGGACAGAAAACAGUGCCAUCCUGUGGUCCAGGCAGGUAUAGCAGACACAUAAAGCAUGACUGCCCAACUCUUCCUGUCCUGUCUCGGUUGCAGUCCUCCACUGUUAGUACCCCCACAGCUGACCCCACGUAUUGUCCGUUUCUUCAGUUGUCCCAUUUCUGCUCCUUCCAGAGCGCUGGCUGCUUCCGAGGUGCCCAACGGAUGCCGGACCCGUGUGGCAGCACGCACGACUAUGGCUCCAGCGGAGCACGUGACAGCAAUCAUGUUUCAAUCUUCAAAAGCCGCGCGGGAAUCGUGUGCAGCUCAGGCGACUGGUUUCAAGAUAUAUGGAACUGGGGGCUCACUCACUUGUCCCUUACUGGACAUGCCUGUGUUUUCUGGAUGAAGAAGAGCUGCAGGAAAUCAAUCCAGCAUCCAUUAGGUCUCAUUUCUGAAAUAUUUAGAGGGCACCAGGUUAGAGAAGGCUGAACCUACAGAGCACCUCAAUCAAAAUAGAGCUGGAAGGACCUUGAAGGUCUUCUAGUCCAACCCCUGCUCAAGCAUUAUACCUAUAGCAUUGCAGGUAAGUGGCUGUCCCGUCUCCUCUUAAAGACCUCCAGUGAUGAUGCACCCACACCUUCUGAAGGCAAACUGUUACACUGGUUAAUUGUUCUGUUAGAAAGAUUGUUGGGGGCAAUAAGCUGACUUUGUAAAAAUGCCACUUAUAAUAAGCAGGCAUAUACAAUGGAAUGAGGGCUAUUGCUGAGCGCAUUGGGUUGUGCUCCGAAAAAUUGUAAGCCACCCUGAGUCUCCGGAGAAGGGCGGCAUAUAAAUAUGAAUUAAAAAAAAAAAAACAUGCCGCCUCCUGCUUUUGCCCAGGAUCGUGGAGACCGAGAAGCGAAGCUCCAAAGCGCAGAGCGGCAGCAAAAGUACCGCCACUCUGUGCUCCUCUGAAAGGGAAGAGCCGCUUCUGUCGCUCUUCUUGGCAUGGCCUCCGGCUUCUUCCUCUCCAGUCAUCUGAGAGGGACCUUCCCGGCACGAUGGACUUCCCGUCCAUUCACCAUGAUCCUCCCUCAGUGCCUUCGUAAAGGACUUUUCUGCCGUGGCCGACUUCUGGUCCAUCAAUCUUAAUCAUCUUUCCAACAUCCUUGCGCAGUGACCUUCUCUGCAUGGCGGACUUCCUGUUCGUUCACCAUGGCCAACACCCAGCACCAUUGACAAACAACCUUUCCAUACCGUGCCUGCCUUCUCGUCCAUCCUUACUUAUCCCCCAGCUUCCUACGACCACGAUAAAGUAAUAUCUUGAAAUAGAUAUAGAUGUCUUUUCUCAUGUCUGCGUUGCAGCAAAUGUGUCUUCCGUCGCCCUAUUAAUAAGGGGCUAAUAAUAAAGAUACAGGACAAUAACCUUAAAAUCCCAUUAAAAAUGUUUAUUUCCUUCUGCAGUCAUAAUACCUGCUUUUCCCACAGGGCGGCACAGUUUUGUGUCCCUGAGGCCAUAUCAACGCUGUCGCCGACAGACAGAGAAGAAGGGUGGGCAAUCAUCCCAAAGUUGCUUUUUCAAAAGGCAACUGGACUGGGUUUUGUUUUUCCUUGAAGAGGUUUCGCUCCUCAUCCCAGAAGCUUGUUCAGUUCUGACUGAACUGUCUGAAGACUGAACUCUCUUCAGUCAGAACUGAAGAAGCUUCUGGGAUGAGAAGUGAAACCUCUUCAAGGAAAAGUCCAGCUGCCUUUUGAAAGAGCAGUUUUGGGACAACCGUGACCUGGAUGACUAAGAAUCUCCAUAGACGGGUGACAUGAGUCCCGCCCCUCUAUAAAAUCUUUCUUUACCCUUCUUCCCCCUUCUCUGCCUUCGGAGUAAAUACUUCGUGUGGUGGGUCGCCCUUUUAAGCUGAGCCUAAAGCUUUUCAAGCUUUGAGGGAUGGGAGUGAGGCAAUCCCAAAAAUGGCUGCCAUGGGCGCUCUGCAGUCAUCCAGAGGUUGAGGAGCUGCUAGUCCCCACAACGCAGCUAGCCUGGCAAAGGAUCCUGGUAGUGGGAGAUUUGCCAAGUCUCAGAUAGCCCACCCUUGAUUUAGGUGCUCCCCUGCUCUUCCUUUUUUGAAAUCUGAUUGUCUUCUUCUUUUCCUUUCCUUCCUCCAGGUUCCACACAUGUCCUCACCCCAUAGAAAUUGCUGGAUACACUGAAGAAAGUGACCAAAAUGGACGAAGAAAGCAGCAGUUAAACUCGCAGCAUCUUCAUUCUUUCCUCCUCUCCUUCCCUCUUUCCCUCUCUCUCUCCCUCUCUCUCUCGUUGACCUGCUCCCUGAACAUCAACCAAAUCGUUGAAAAUCUGGCAUUGCGGUUGACUUCUGGGCCCCCUUUCCACUCUGCCUCUUCUUGUGUUUUAAUGCAAAACCUUGAAGUUUCUCACGAUUCCCUACUCAUAUGAAGCCAAGCUAAAUAGGAAACAAUAAUUAUAAUAAUAAUAUAUGCAUUGUGUCUAAAGGACGAGUGGGGGAAGAUAAAGAGUAAUAUAUUCUAUACUAUAGAUAUUAUCUCUGUAUGUACCCAAGAAAAUAAAAUUGUCAGAUUCAACUGCCGAUAUUGGAGGUCCCAUUGCUUCAUCAUUGGAGAUAAGAAUGGUGAUUAUAUUUUCAAUACUGUCUUUUGGUUUCCCCCCUUUUUCUGUUUCCCCCCUGCUCGGAUGGACGAAUGCUUGUGACUUAUUUAUGGCUCUGUGAUACUGUAGUUAACUCCCGGAUGCAAACUGUGAAUAUUGUCUCCUAGACGUUGCAAUUUGCUUGCAUUUUUGGAAAUAACUGUAAUAACUUCCCUCCUUUUCCUUUCUCACAUCGCUGUCGUUGGGGUUGUCGUCUUGAUUAUGUAUUUCUUCUACUUGGUUUUGUUCUGAUUUUUUUUAGUUCCUUGAUAUGCAGCCAGGCUGGCUUUUGAGAGAUAAAUGAUAUAUCUAUAUCUAUAUAUGCAUAUAUUUUCUGGGUGUUACUUGGUUGUUCUCCUUCCUCCUCGUCUCUUUUGGAAGUAUGUCAUAUUUGAAUCAUGUUUUUCCACCGAAGUAUGGCAUAACUUUCUUUCUCAAAGCCUGAUCAACAAAAAAAGAUUGGUUUUCCCUUUCUCAGGUCUCCUGGUGGCUUUAAAUUUUGCUGAGGGAUGCUGGCAAGUAAAUAUCCUUGGAACCUCACGGUUGCAUUUUGGUGCAAAGAAUUAACAAUAAAAACUAGAGGGACAUAAUUUGCUUCCGGAAUCAUUUGUCCUCGAUCGGUAAGAUUUA
rnacentral:lncRNA from 1 species